GCCAGAUAUCAGGCUCUCCUUCGAGAAGCCUGUGGAGCGACUACCACCCAAGGCACAAAUCAUGGCUGAGGCCUCUGAAGAAUCUCAGGAAGACACAGAUUCCAUGGUCUCGAGUGGCACGGGGGGAUAUACAGAGAGACUGAGAGUCAGAUGAUGACUUUUUCCCUUCUACAAAAGGGGACAUUAAGAAGCUGCUGCUGGAGCUGAGGCAGGCAUGGAAAACAGAUCUGCAGGAGACACAGGCUGACAUAGGAGCAAUGAAUGCAAAGUUCAAUGCAGUUUAAACAAGGGGAAAAAAACAGAGACAACCAGAUGCAGGAGACUAAGUGUCAGGUGGAAGAGUUUAGCCACCAGGUUUAAAAGCAGUAGCUGUACUGGAGUCCAGACACAGAAGGCGCAACAUCCAUCUAAGAGGUAUCCCCGGAAGAGUGGGAAGCGAGGAGCUACUGCCCUUCAACAGGAGACGGAUUGCCUCACUGGGCCUUAAGGGGGUGAGAGACACCUCACUGGUUAUGUCAGUAUUCAGAGUAAGAAAGCGGCUGCAGCCUCGUCAGGGGCCUCC